rnacentral:rRNA from 1 species
GACGAACGCUGGCGGCGUGCCUAAUACAUGCAAGUCGAGCGGACAGACGGGAUCUUGCUCCCUGCUGUUAGCGGCGGACGGGUGAGUAACACGUGGGUAACCUGCCUGUAAGACUGGGAUAACUCCUGGAAACCGGGGCUAAUACCGGAUGGUUGUCUUUACCGCAUUGUUCUUACAUUAAAGAUGGCUUCGUCUACCACUUACAGAUGGACCCGCGGAGGAUUAGCUAGUUGGUGAGGUAACGGCUCACCAAGGCAACGAUGCGUAGCCGACCUGAGAGGGUGGACGGCCAAAAUGGGAAUGGGAAAAGGCCCAAAAGCCUAGGGGAGGCAGCAGUAGGGAAACUUCGGAAAAGGAAGAAAGUCUGACAGAGGAAAGCCGCGUGAGUGAAGAAGGUUUUCGGAUCGUAAAACUCUGUUGGUAGGGAAGAACAAGGGGGGGAGAAAAAGGGCGACAAAUUGACGGUACCUAACCAGAAAGCCACGGCUAACUACGUG